UUAUUUUAGUUAUUGUAGUUGUUUGUUAAUUUUAGGAGUUAUUUAAAUAAAUUGUUGACUUAUGAUUCUUAAAUAAGUUGGGUAUUUAUGCUUUUAAAGACACCAAUAAGGUCAACAGUGGAUCCUUUUCCGCUACUGAGCAACUUCUAAAACUGAACCCUGCGCUCGAAUCGCUCUUGUUGAAGUUCUCCUAUUCAACUUCAAUUUUAUUAGGGUUGGCGAGGAACUUGUGGACCAAAAGAGAUAUCUCGAAUACUCUUGCAAACCAAAGUGUGUGAAACCAUUACUUGAAUAUCAGGUUUGAUUUCUUGAAUUGUAUAAUAAUUAGCUGGAUCGUUUGAAGUUGAGCUUUAUUCUUAAUCAAGUCAAGUUUUUUUUUCUUUUUGAUUUUAAAAUUGAGAGUAGAAAGGUGUUGCAUUGGGUUAAUGCAUUUACAGAUUUACAGGUUGAUUACAUUACCCUUUUUGCACCUGUAAAAUUUAUGUCAUGGCCUACUUAAAACUAUAAUUAAAGCAUUAGAUAAAGUUGAGUGUAAUGAGAAUUUGAAAGAAGGGAGUACUAGAAAGAGUCAAGAAAUGAAGAUAAUUAUGGAUUCAACGGCUUUAAAUCUUGUAAUAAAAUGUGUAGCUUGUUUUUUGUGACAGAAAGCCAUAGUUUUACCUCCUUUUGUGGCAAUGGCAGUUCGUCCACGACCUUGUAUUUGGAAUACGUAUGUGUUAACGUUUUUGAAUUGAGUGUGGAGCAAUUAAGUGUUUCUGAAUAUCUCUGCUUCAAAGAAAACUUGUAGAUGGAACGUGAGAAACUCUUUGCUUAGAUUUUUCAAUAAGAAAUAAACUCAUAGAUCAUGUCAUGUAAGAGUAACUUCAUGCCUGAUUUGGUGACUGGUUUGAUUUUAGUUUUACACUACAAGGUUAAUGACCAUUUUGUAUUAGAGCUUUAUUUUGAGCCAUUCAAUGCCUUGUUUCCUCGACCAAACCGCUCAUCGUCCACUAGCAAUGGUGUCCAGUUUCUCAAUCGCCACAUUUCUUCAAUUAUGUUUCGAAAGAAAGAUUCUUUGGAGCCAUUUUGCUUAAUUUCCUCCGAGCUCACAAAUAUAAUAUAAAGGCAAAGUAAGUUUUCUUUCACAACGAUUUUAAGUUUCAAGGAAUGCAACUUGAGCCUGCAAGUUUUCUUUAUGAAUUCCCACUAAUGAUUAUUGUGCAAGGACUUAUGUUAAAUGAUCAUAUUGUUUUCAUGUCGUUAACGACACAUUUUUUAUGCUAUAGUUUGUGUCAUAUAUCUGGACUUGAUUUUUGUAUUGUUUCUUUAAUAAUGUUUGAUAUCAUGUAUAGAUGUCAUGAUUUCGUUAAAUUAUUUGGUCUUGAGACAAUAAUUAUUUGUGAUCAGGUACUGCUUUAUUUGUAUACUUAGCAAUAAAGCUGAAUAAAAUCCAAGUUUUCAUUCAAUUCAUUUAUCAUAUUCAUAUUCUGUUUUUUUAAAAAAUAAAAAAAAAAAAUUGUUAUAGGUAUUGGGUAUUCCGCUCAUGUUAUUGUUUGCAUAUUUUUUCAAUUGGAAUAGAGUAAAGCUUCUUUAUUGGGAUGGUGGCUCAUUUACUGGGGAUGGUGAAGAUCAGGUACAAUUUCAUAUCUUGAAAUGUUACAAUUUCAUAUCUUGAAAUGUUAUUUAAUUACAGAUUGAGUAUAUCUUAUUGAGUUUGAGCAAGAUCUUAUUUUUCUUUUGUUUCACUUUAUAAUUUGUUUUCAUGAACUUUUCCAACUCUCUCCUUAUGAUUUUAUCAAUUUCCCAUCGCAAAAAUUAGUUUUAGAAACACAAUUUUAUAACAGAAAAGUGAAUGAGUGAGUAGCACUAUUGAGAUAGACGACUUACAUUCAUAUGAUGCAAGGAUAGUUUACUAUUUUCUGGUGAGAUAGAUUGCAGAACAUCAAUUCAGAGGACAACGUAUUUGGGCAGCUGCAAUAGAAGAUUUGAUGUCAAAGGGAAUGCAUUUUGCUAACCAGAUUAUACUUAUAGACACAUUCUAUAAUUCUAUUUUAAUAAUCUUUCUUCUAAUUUUAAAUACAACUAAUUUUGCAUCAGGCUCUUUUUUUUGGAUGUUGUGCAGGCGGCCUAGCGACUAUUAUACACUGCGUUGAAUUUCGAGGUCUCUUUCCAAGGACUACUAAAGUGAAAUGUCUAAGUGAUGCAAGCUUGUUUCUUGAUUUAAUUGAUAUAUCUGGCGAGCGUACCCUCAGGAAUAUGUACAAUGGUGUUGUAGGUUUGCAGGGCUAAUAUGAUGAGACUGUACUUUGAGGGACUAAUCUGGUAAGAGGUCUGGUGUGGUGUAGGCAGGCUUUGUAGAAUUAACAUCAAACAUAAUGAGUCAUCCUUUGUCGAAAAGACCACAUUGACCUCCCUCUUUUUGACAAAAUUGUAUAAGAGCCCUCAACAGCACAUCCACAACGACAUUUGUAAAGAAUGUGUGCCAUAGAAGAGCCCUCGUCCACCAUGAAGUUGCUUCUUCCAGUGCGAAAAGGACACCACCAACUGGGACACGAAAGGCAGCAACAACACCUACAGCUGCUCCACACGUAAUCAAAUCCCUUUUAUCUCUACCAUUUUUGAAGUAUCUGAGCCAUUUCCAGAUGGAGGAGGAUGUCCAUGAGCCUCCGCAUAUGGAGUAGUCUGAGGAACAGUAUGUUGCACAUGUUGAUGAUAUUCGUGAUGCUGCUGAUGAUGCUGAUGAUAUUCAUGAUGCUGUUGCACAUGCUGAUGAUAUUCACGAGCAGGAUCAGCAGACCAGAUUCCUUGGGGGACCAGUGGUGACACAUGUGUUGACACGGAUCGUGGAUCGUUAAAAGUUAUUACUCAUGGAUUGAAGCUGAAGAAGUUUGCUGAAGUUCCUGUGCCAGAUCCUGUACAACAUUAGAUUCGGGAAUCUGAGUUGCUACAUCUGUCUUCAGCCUACCUCACUAUGGCUGAUGCUGGUUUGAUAUCUGCAUUUGUUGAAACACAGCACAGGGAGACCAGCUCAUUUCAUUUGCCAUUUGGAGAGAUGACUAUCACGUUAGACGACGUCGCGACUCUCCUUCACAUCUCACCCCAUGAUAAUUUUUUUGAUGCAUCUAUGAAUAUGAACACUAAUAGUGCUGCAAGAGUUCCAGAUGAGUACUUAGGUGCAACUUGGGAUGAAGCACUAGCUGAGAUUAAUUAUAAUAAAUGUGUCCAAUAUAGAUUGCAAUGGUUGCGUGAUUUAUAUAGUCGUCUCAUUCAAACUAAUCAGUUUGAGUGUGCGGCUAUAACGUAUUUGUUGCAUUUAGCUGGCAGCACUAUUUUCGUCGAUAAAACACAUAUGCUUGUAGAGGCGAAAUACAUUAGUUUAUUUAUUGAUUUAGAUCGUUGUCGGGACUAUUCAUGGGCUACCACGACAUUGGUUUUCCUUUAUGACAAUCUGGGAGAUGGAGUUGUUUACGACACUCGAUAGUUGGGAGGUUACAUGACCCUAUUACAGGAAUAUCAUUUAUAUUAAGUUGUGUCAUUUAUUUAUUUAAUUACUUAUUUAUUAAGUUGUGGUAUUUUAUGAUGUUACUUAUCUUGCAGUGUUGGAUUUAUGAGCACUUCCCUAGGAUCUGUAAGCGGGGCGAUAGAGGAGCGGUUCCUGCACAUCUUCCAAGAGCAUGUAGGUGGACUGCAAAAUAUGUUGUUGAAGGCGGAUUGAUGACAUAUCGUCAAAUAAUUGAUGCUUUGUUGCUCGAGGAUGUAGUGUUUACACCAUAUGAUGAUGAUCGAGCUAAUCAUCUGUUUGUAUCGAUUUCGAUGUUCUUUGGAUAUCUUUGAUAUGGUGGAGUCUCAGUCUCAUAUUUGCCGGAGCGAUGCCUUCGACAAUUUGGCCGUAUUUUGUGCAUUCCGCAUGACGUUCCUCUGGUGCCAAACAGUAUAAAUUGGGUGUGGCAGACUACUAUGAGAUCAUUUGUAGCGGCCUUUCGGAGCCUAUAUCUUGUUGGGACUUUCCCUGGAGAGGUCACUGCAGACUACUAUGCAUGAUACAUGAGUGUUUCACAUCCUCUGAUCCUCAUUCCAUCUACUCUUGCACCUUCAAGUCCACCUAUUGUUGCUGCACAUGGUCCAUCAUCUUCUAUACAUGUCGGUCCAUCAUCAGCACGAGACCGUAGAGCAGCUGAGCUUGUAUGUAGGGCCAUAAAUUUGGUAGCUCCAUUUAGUGAAGUUCAUUACAUAUUAAGUCAGUUAAGCCGCUUGUACGACGAUUAGUGAUUGUGUGUAAUGUAUGACUGUGUUAUGUAUGAUAAAUAUUGAACAUGAAUUUCUAUUUUAAAAUUUUGUGUUA